AACGAACGCUGGCGGCAUGCCUAACACAUGCAAGUCGAACGAGACCUUCGGGUCUAGUGGCGCACGGGUGCGUAACGCGUGGGAAUCUGCCCCUCGGUUCGGAAUAACACAGAGAAAUUUGUGCUAAUACCGGAUAAUGACUUCGGUCCAAAGAUUUAUCGCCGAGGGAUGAGCCCGCGUAAGAUUAGCUUGUUGGUGGGGUAAUGGCCUACCAAGGCGACGAUCUUUAGCUGGUCUGAGAGGAUGAUCAGCCACACUGGGACUGAGACACGGCCCAGACUCCUACGGGAGGCAGCAGUGGGGAAUAUUGGACAAUGGGCGAAAGCCUGAUCCAGCAAUGCCGCGUGAGUGAUGAAGGCCUUAGGGUUGUAAAGCUCUUUUACCAGGGAUGAUAAUGACAGUACCUGGAGAAUAAGCUCCGGCUAACUCCGUGCCAGCAGCCGCGGUAAUAGUCACGUCGC
rnacentral:rRNA from 1 species